rnacentral:lncRNA from 1 species
ACUCGCCCGCGCAGCAACGGCCUCAAUAGCGCCAGGCCCGCGUCUACAAGAAGCCCGACCAAGGCCGGCGUGGGCGAGGCCUGGCUAGACGCUGACGCACCGCUGGAGCUACUGACCUCGGGACGACUGGCGGACGGUCGCGGGCCUGGAGACCCAGAGCGAGACGGCCUACUUCGUUCUCGAGCCAGCAGAACGGGUUGAACGUGUCGACAACCCCACCCGCCAGUCAGCGGCGCGGGCGUGUUCGAGCCGGCUCGUGGGCGUGGUCAGGCCUCCCUGGAUGGAUGUUGGGAGAGUUUACGCGUGGCCUUGUGGGAUCGCUGUGGCGGACUCUCAGCUAUCAGAGGGCUCCAUCACUCCAUCGUAAGGAGGCAGCUGGUGGCGAGUCCUGAGCAGGGAUGUGAUCCGACGGGCAGGCGGCGCCCGGGACAGAAGCUGACGUCACACAGCCACCCCAUGACGUCACCGGUGCCAAGUGCCGGCUGUGUGCGGAGCAGUUGGAGACACAGUGGGUGUCCGAGGGGGGGCUCUGCGUCCGGAGGUGAGAGGUGGGUCUCAACACAGCUGCCCUCCCCCAUGGUAUGGUGACAGUCACUAACAGGUGGCCUGCGCUGGCCUCCACGUGGCUGCCAAGGGCCAUCCCUGAGCACUCAGCGGGUGCCUGUUCCACACGGACUAUGAAAAUGACUGUCUCGUUCACCUCACGGCGACCCCGUGGGGUGGAUACGAACUCACGCCAUUUGACAGGCGAGACGUCCGAGGUCAGAGGGGAGGAGACGGACCCGACCUUCCUUGGCUGUGCUCUCCAGCCCUGUCCUGUGCUGGACCCAACCUAACCUCUGCAGCCUCCCUGCCCUGGACACAAAUCUGGCUGAGACCCCAGACCCUGAUGGGGCAGAGCCUGGCACUGGAGGAGCCACCAGGAUGGGCCCCUGUGGGUGUGGGCAGAGGGUGAUCCUCAGUUCAGGUUUUUGCCAGAAGAUGGGUUCCUGCAGGAGGGGGUCUCAGCAGCUCAGACUUCAGAUGCGCUCACUGCUGCUCACUGUGGGACAGCCAGACACGGAGCCCUCUGUUCUCCAGCAGUUGUGGACAAUGAGGGAUCCCUGGAGGGAUGCCUGGUGGGCAGCAGGAGUCCCUCUUGUGGGUCAGGGUGCGGGGAUGGGCUCUCCCUGCAGGGACUUCCCAGUCUUGUCCUCUGGGAUUGGCAGUUUGCAGGGGUAUCCUCGGCAUCAGACCAGGGGGGCCACACAGGGACCCAGAUCUAUGGGGCCCAGCCCCGGGAAGACCAGAUGGGCUCAGUG